UGGUGAAGUUUGGCAAGAUGGAACUGUUCAGGAGCUCCAUGUGGACCUUGAUUCCCGAAAGAGACAUUUCUGGUGAUAUCAUUACUUGCUUUUCCUGGGUGUUGACACACGAGGAAAGGCAGCGACAAGAGGUUCCUGAAACGGCUUCCAUUUGGAGGCAUACUUGGGGAAAGGGAGGCCAGUGGAAGGUUACGCCGUAAGCCAACAAUGGGCUAAUUUCCACUUUGGGCAGUUUUCCUUAUAUGAACUGUUUGUAUUAAGCCUAACCC